GACGGAAGGCGCAAGCGUUGCUCGGAAUCACUGGGCGUAAAGGGUGCGUAGGCGGCCGCGCAAGUCUGGCGUGAAAGCCCCGGGCUCAGCCCGGGAAGGGCGCUCGAAACGGCGCGGCUCGAGUGCCGGAGGGGAGAGUGGAAUUCCUGGUGUAGCGGUGAAAUGCGUAGAUAUCAGGAGGAAUACCGGUGGCGAAAGCGACUCUCUGGACGGCAACUGACGCUGAGGCACGAAAGCGUGGGGAGCAAACAGG
rnacentral:rRNA from 1 species